rnacentral:rRNA from 1 species
CGAUCUGUAGCUGGUCUGAGAGGACGACCAGCCACACUGGGACUGAGACACGGCCCAGACUCCUACGGGAGGCAGCAGUGGGGAAUUUUGGACAAUGGGCGAAAGCCUGAUCCAGCCAUGCCGCGUGCAGGAUGAAGGCCUUCGGGUUGUAAACUGCUUUUGUACGGAACGAAACGGCCUUUUCUAAUAAAGAGGGCUAAUGACGGUACCGUAAGAAUAAGCACCGGCUAACUACGUGCCAGCAGCCGCGGUAAUACGUAGGGUGCAAGCGUUAAUCGGAAUUACUGGGCGUAAAGCGUGCGCAGGCGGUUAUGUAAGACAGUUGUGAAAUCCCCGGGCUCAACCUGGGAACUGCAUCUGUGACUGCAUAGCUAGAGUACGGUAGAGGGGGAUGGAAUUCCGCGUGUAGCAGUGAAAUGCGUAGAUAUGCGGAGGAACACCGAUGGCGAAGGCAAUCCCCUGGACCUGUACUGACGCUCAUGCACGAAAGCGUGGGGAGCAAACAGG